rnacentral:siRNA from 1 species
GUGGUGCAUGGCCGUUCU